rnacentral:rRNA from 1 species
UACAGAGGUCUCAAGCGUUGUUCGGAUUCAUUGGGCGUAAAGGGUGCGUAGGUGGCGCCAUAAGUCAGGUGUGAAAUCUCGGGGCUCAACCCCGAAACUGCAUUUGAUACUGUGGUGCUCGAGUACUGGAGAGGAGAUUGGAAUUUACGGUGUAGCAGUGAAAUGCGCAGAUAUCGGGAAGAACACCCGUGGCGAAGGCGGCUCUCUGGGACGGUACUGACGCUGAGACGCGAAAGCGUGGGGAGCGAACAGG